GUCUCGAGCGUGCGCAGUGGGAGCGACCCUGGGAAGUCGCUGUUCUUUCCCUCGGCUCCACAAAAGCAUCUCAAAAGAAGAUUUGCAGAUCGGAAACACAAACCAAAUGAUCUAAGCAUGCCUUUUUAUUCAUUCAGCACUGGAUAUUAUCGGCCUUUAAAGAAUGGAAACUUCCAAGCUGUUCCUCGGGAGUAUUAUAAUGCAACGUUUGACCAGAAUCACAUAAUAAGAUGUUAGGGAGGUGACAAAAUGUUUUAUGGUCAGAUUUGUUGUUUUGAAGGAGUAUUUUAAAGUGCAAAACUGAGGCAGAGAAAG